rnacentral:sRNA from 1 species
CACCGGCGUUUCGGGUGCCGUCCGUGCCAGUCA